rnacentral:rRNA from 1 species
AUUGAACGCUGGCGGCAGGCUUAACACAUGCAAGUCGAGCGGAGAUGAGGUGCUUGCACCUUAUCUUAGCGGCGGACGGGUGAGUAAUGCUUAGGAAUCUGCCUAUUAGUGGGGGACAACAUUCCGAAAGGAAUGCUAAUACCGCAUACGUCCUACGGGAGAAAGCAGGGGAUCUUCGGACCUUGCGCUAAUAGAUGAGCCUAAGUCGGAUUAGCUAGUUGGUGGGGUAAAGGCCUACCAAGGCGACGAUCUGUAGCGGGUCUGAGAGGAUGAUCCGCCACACUGGAACUGAGACACGGUCCAGACUCCUACGGGAGGCAGCAGUGGGGAAUAUUGCGCAAUGGGGGAAACCCUGACGCAGCAACGCCGCGUGAGUGAGGAAGGACUUCGGUCUGUAAAGCUCUGUUAAUGUAGAAAAAUGGUAGUUGGUCUAAUAGGCCAAUUGCUUGAUGGUAUACAUAGAGGAAGCACCGGCUAACUCCGUGCCAGCCGCCGCCGUAA